rnacentral:rRNA from 1 species
UGAGGAAUAUUGGUCAAUGGACGCAAGUCUGAACCAGCCAUGCCGCGUGCAGGAUGACGGCUCUAUGAGUUGUAAACUGCUUUUGUACGAGGGUAAACGCAGAUACGUGUAUCUGUCUGAAAGUAUCGUACGAAUAAGGAUCGGCUAACUCCGUGCCAGCAGCCGCGGUAAUACGGAGGAUCCAAGCGUUAUCCGGAUUUAUUGGGUUUAAAGGGUGCGUAGGCGGUUUUAUAAGUUAGAGGUGAAAAUUCGGGGCUCAACUCCGGACGUGCCUCUAAUACUGUAUGACUAGAGAUUAGAUGCGGUAGGCGGAAUGUAUGGUGUAGCGGUGAAAUGCGUAGAGAUCAUACAGAACACCGAUUGCGAAGGCAGCUUACCAAACUAUAUCUGACGUUGAGGCACGAAAGCGUGGGGAGCAAACAGG